AGAGUUGAUCAUGGCUCAGGACGAACGCUGGCGGCACGCUUAACACAUGCAAGUCGAACGGAGAAACUGGAUUAUUCAUUUCUUAGUGGCGGACGGGUGAGUAACACGUGAGCAACCUGCCUUUGAGAGGGGAAUAGCUUCGGGAAACUGAUGGUAAUACCCUAUAAUAUAUUUGUAAGGCAUCUUAUGGAUAUCAAAGAUUUAUCACUCAAAGAUGGGCUCGCGUCUGAUUAGCUAGUUGGUGAGGUAACGGCUCACCAAGGCGACGAUCAGUAGCCGGACUGAGAGGUUGAACGGCCACAUUGGGACUGAGACACGGCCCAGACUCCUACGGGAGGCAGCAGUGGGGAAUAUUGCACAAUGGGGGGAACCCUGAUGCCAGCGAUGCCGCGUGGAGGAAGAAGGUUUUCGGAUUGUAAACUCCUUUUGUCUGGGAAGAUAAUGACUGUACCAGAUGAAUAAGCUCCGGCUAACUACGUGCCAGCAGCGGC
rnacentral:rRNA from 1 species